rnacentral:rRNA from 1 species
CCUACGGGUGGCAGCAGUGGGGAAUAUUGCACAAUGGGGGAAACCCUGAUGCAGCAACGCCGCGUGAAGGAAGAAGGUUUUCGGAUUGUAAACUUCUAUCAAUAGGGAAGAAAGAAAUGACGGUACCUAACUAAGAAGCCCCGGCGACAUACGUGCCAGCAGCCGCUGGAAUACGUAGGGGGCAAGCGGUAUCCGGAAUUACUGGGUGUAAAGGGUGAGUAGGCGGCAAGGUAAGCGAUAUGUGAAGGCCUUGAGCUUAACUUAAGGAUGGCAUAAAGAACGAUCUAGCUAGAGUACAGGAGAAGAAAGCGGAAGUCCUAGUGUAGCGGUGAAAUGCGUAGAUAUCAGGAAGAACACCAGUGGCGAAGGCAGCUUUCUGGACUGAAACUGACGCUGAGGCUCGAAAGCGUGGGGAGCGAACAGGAUUAGAUACCCGAGUAGUC